UACAGGGGGGGCAAGCGUUGUUCGGAAUUACUGGGCGUAAAGGGCUCGUAGGCGGCCAACUAAGUCACACGUGAAAUCCCCAGGCUUAACCUGGGAACUGCGUGUGAUACUGGAUGGCUUGAAUCCGGGAGAGGGAUGCGGAAUUCCAGGUGUAGCGGUGAAAUGCGUAGAUAUCGCUUGGAACGCCGACGGUGAAAACAGGUUGCUGGGAAUGCGCCGACGCUGAGACACGAAAGCCAGGGGAGCAAACGGG
rnacentral:rRNA from 1 species